UACGUAGGGCGCAAGCGUUAUCCGGAAUUAUUUUGGGCGUAAAGAGCUCGUAGGCGGUUUUUGUCGCGUCUGCCGUGAAAAGUCCGGGGGCUCAACUCCGGAUCUGCAGUGGGUACGGGCAGACUAGAGUGCAGUAGGGGAGACUGGAAUUCCUGGUGUAGCGGUGAAAUGCGUAGAUAUCUGGAGGAACACCGGUGGCGAAGGCGGCAUCCUGGACCGGCAUUGACGCUGAGGCGCGAAAGCUAGGGGAGCAAACGGG
rnacentral:rRNA from 1 species